UUCGAAACAACUCAAUUGCUU
rnacentral:piRNA from 1 species